rnacentral:rRNA from 1 species
UGCGCAGGCGGGAGAUUAGGUCGGAUGUGAAAACUCCGGGCUCAACCCGGGGCCUGCAUUCGAAACCAAUCUUCUUGAGUAUCGGAGAGGGAAGCGGAACUCCAGGUGUAGCGGUGAAAUGCGUAGAUAUCUGGAGGAACACCGGUGGCGAAGGCGGCUUCCUGGACGAAUACUGACGCUCAUGCACGAAGGCUAGGGGAGCAAACA